UGGAUUUCCUUCGGGACUUCUUUACAAGGUGCUGCAUGGUUGUCGUCAGCUCGUGCCGUUGAGGUGUCGGGUUAAGUCCCAUAACGAGCGCAACCCCUGUUGUUAGUUGCCAGCGGUUCGGCCGGGCACUCUAGCAAGACUGCCGGUGGUAAGCCGGAGGAAGGUGGGGAUGACGUCAAAUCCUCAUGGCCCUUAUGCCCAGGGCUACACACGUAAUACAAUGGUCGGUACAGAGGGUUGCCAACCCGCGAGGGGGAGCCAAUCCCAGAAAACCGAUCGUAGUCCGGAUUGCAAUCUGCAACUCGACUGCAUGAAGUCGGAAUCGCUAGUAAUCGCGGAUCAGCAUGUCGCGGUGAAUACGUUCCCGGGCCUU
rnacentral:rRNA from 1 species